UACGGGGGGAGCAAGCGUUGUUCGGAUUUACUGGGCGUAAAGGGCGCGUAGGCGGUCAGCACAAGUCAGUUGUGAAAUCUCCGGGCUUAACUCGAAAAGGUCAACUGAUACUGUGCGACUAGAGUGCGGAAGGGGCAACUGGAAUUCUCGGUGUAGCGGUGAAAUGCGUAGAUAUCGAGAGGAACACCUGCGGCGAAGGCGGCAUUCUGGACCGAAACUGACGCUGAGGCGCGAAAGCCAGGGGAGCAAACGGG
rnacentral:rRNA from 1 species